GUAAGGACUUAGGGAUAAUUCUGCAGCUAAUUUUUGUACUCGCUGCAUAAGGAUCAUUCCUCAUGUAUAAUGUGCCCCAAAUGCAGCUUCUGGAUACCUUGAUGCAGACAGAAUAGCUUUUCACCAUUAGGUGCAAAGAAGCAAAUCACGGAGAACGCAGAGAAAUGGAAAUCAGUAGCAGAUUUGCUCUCCCUUCCUUCCUCCCGGUGUCCUUUGGGGAGCCAGAUCCUAAUCAACAGAGAAGAGUCUUGCGUGGCUUUUACCGCUCCGAGUGAACUGGGUUAUCACUUAGAAUGAUGUCUAGUCAUUAUUGUGCUUCCCUGGGGGCUUAGUGGUAAUGCAUCUGCCUGCUAAUGCAGGAGAUGUGGGUUCUGUUCCUGGGUCAGGAAGAUCACCUGGAGAAGGAAAUGGCAAUCCACUCCAGUAUUAUUGCCUGGAAAAAUCCCAGGGACAGACAGGCCUGGUGGGCUAUAGUCCCAAAGUCUGAGACAUGCCUGAGCACGCAUGCUGCUACUACUAGUCAGCAUGAGCAGGUGGGAGUUACCAGUUGUGCUUUACUCUUCCAUGGCCUACCUCCGGGAGCAGAUGCCCUUGGUUGCCCCAUCCAUCCCCCUCCUCCGCUGGGCACUCCCCUUUGCUAGCACAUGCCUACACAGUUCUACUGGAAACCUUUGUGAUUCCCUCUUGAAAGCACUCUCUAGGUUCCAGCCCCUAACAACCAGAAGUGCCAUGGGCUGAUGCACCAGGAAACAACGUCAAGCAAAGAGAGAGGGGAAUGGGAGGAUAAAGUCACCUCUCCUGUGCUCCAGGAUAAAGUCACCGCUCCCGUGCCCCCGGGAACCAGGAGGUGGUGGUGGUCAUGUAUGGAUGUGAGAGUUGAAUUGUGAAGAAAGCUGAGUGCAGAAGAAUUGAUGCUUUUGAACUGUGGUGUCGGAGAAGACUCUUGAGAGUCCCUUGGACUGCAAGGAGAUCCAACCAGUCCAUCCUAAAGGAGAUCAGUCCUGGGUAUUCAUUGGAAGGACUGAUGCUAAAGCUGAA
ensembl:lncRNA